rnacentral:rRNA from 1 species
AUUGAACGCUGGCGGCAGGCCUAACACAUGCAAGUCGAGCGGAUGAAGGGAGCUUGCUCCUGGAUUCAGCGGCGGACGGGUGAGUAAUGCCUAGGAAUCUGCCUGGUAGUGGGGGAUAACGUCCGGAAACGGGCGCUAAUACCGCAUACGUCCUGAGGGAGAAAGUGGGGGAUCUUCGGACCUCACGCUAUCAGAUGAGCCUAGGUCGGAUUAGCUAGUUGGUGGGGUAAAGGCCUACCAAGGCGACGAUCCGUAACUGGUCUGAGAGGAUGAUCAGUCACACUGGAACUGAGACACGGUCCAGACUCCUACGGGAGGCAGCAGUGGGGAAUAUUGGACAAUGGGCGAAAGCCUGAUCCAGCCAUGCCGCGUGGGUGAAGAAGGUCUUCGGAUUGUAAAGCACUUUAAGUUGGGAGGAAGGGCAGUAAGUUAAUACCUUGCUGUUUUGACGUUACCAAAAGAAUAAGCACCGGCUACUUCGUG